GCAGGGGGUAGUUCGCGAGAAAGAGAGAGGAGAGAGAGAGCUCAGGAAGUCGGCCUCUCGCUAGCGCAACUAGAGUGCUUACUCGUCUCUUCGUAGUCUGACGGCUCUCGGGACCUCGGGUCGGCCUACCCCGCGGCGCGCACGCGUCCUUUAGCCGCUGUAUAUUGAUCGAACGCCGACGACGCCGAUCCGGAUGCCGACGUCGCCUCUUCUAAGGAGAGAGCAGCCUUCGGGCAAGGUCACUCUACUCUACUCUCAAAUGGUUAUAACCCGGCCCGGAAUCGAGAACUCUUAUUUAAUAAAUUGUGGAAUUAAGAUCUGUGUUUGAUUAUGAUUCUAGUCAUGCGACCUGCAAAUAGGAAAGACCUAAGAAGAAAUUUUGUGAGAUAGGUCGGGGUGAGUUGACCCAGGUUCAGAACGCAUUAUGGAUUGAGCCAUCUGGUUCUCUGUUUACCGUAUUAAUUAUAUAUUAGAUGUUUGAUUAAAUGAAGUAAUAAACAUGCUUCUCGGUAUGGAAAUCAGUGAAUAAUUAAUAUGACGAAUUUAAUCUUCCACCAGCUAAGUUGAACUUUGAAGAAUUUUUCUAGAUUUAUACAUAAUCCAGAAAAAUAAGAAUCUAAACUGAAACUCGAAACUUAUGUUGCUGACGGAAAAUGGAUAGUUCAACAUGGUCGGUGGAGGAUUAAUAAUCUCAUUUUUAAUGGAGUUCUUCGUUCAGAAGGAUGUUCUUGAUACACCAUAAUUAUUGGCCGGGCGAUCCUCGAUAAAUACUUUCCUUGGCGAAACUCGUUCUGGCACACUUGCCUCUGCUCGCGAUUCGGAUUCGGAGAAAGUGAGAGCAUGGAACGCGUAACAUUACUUCAUCGCUAUGACGAAGAUACAUAUACGUACACGCAUAUUCUAAUGUAAUGAUUCAUAUUCUGGAGAAAACAACUGGAAAUUUCGAUGCGUUCUUUCGAAUUGCAAAAGCAUUUAUAAGGAAUUCGAUCGUGCAACUUGAUAAAAAUUAUAAAAAAAAUGAGCGAAUUUGCUAGAAUUUUUAUAACUUCAUUGAUUAAUAGUAUUUUCUCACUUUUAUAAUUUUCAUCAAGUUGCAUAAUGCACAAUCAAACCCCAGAAUCAUUUCACCACUGAGAUAAACUCUAGAGAAAUGUCCUUCACCAAAGUUCUUGAAAAUUCUACGAUUCGCGAAGAGAUAGUGUUUGAGAACCGCUGUCGCCUGAUAAAGCGGUAUUAUUUUGCAUCGUUAUCGAAAACGCAUACUUAAGGGUCAAAGUAGCAGACCAUCUUGGC